UACGGAGGGUGCAAGCGUUAUCCGGAUUUACUGGGUUUAAAGGGAGCGUAGGUGGGUCGGUAAGUCAGUGGUGAAAUCUUCGAGCUUAACUCGGAAACUGCCAUUGAUACUAUCGAUCUUGAAUUAUCUGGAGGUAAGCGGAAUAUGUCAUGUAGCGGUGAAAUGCUUAGAUAUGACAUAGAACACCCAUUGCGAAGGCAGCUUACUACGGAUAUAUUGACACUGAGGCUCGAAAGCGUGGGGAGCAAACAGG
rnacentral:rRNA from 1 species